UGCUGCUUACACGGAUAAUGUGUUGUGUAGCACACUGACUUUUUGUUUGAAGUGUGAUAUUUUCUGAUUAUUAUCCACUAUUUCUAUGAAGUAUAUUUUAUCGACCGCAUUCCAAUAGUCGUAGUCGUAGCAUUAUUUUACAAAAUUUCCAAAGCGACUGAUGUAAUUUCUUGUCAAAAUUCAACAAGAGUGACCUAACGCGAAGACCUACGAAAGACUAAAAAAAGUGGAAUCGCUCUCAUAAAUUUUUACAUGUUUUUGCAAGUGGAUUUUAUGGCCAAUGAAAUGAUUGUAUUUCCGGCGAUCGCCACGUGGGCAGGCGUUCUGAAUUUUAGAUUUGUGGCCGUGCUGUUCGCCGAUAACAGAAAAGCGAGCCGUUGCGAAUAAUCGUUGCAGACCGCUAUAUUUCAAUUGAAUAAAAUUUUGCUACGUGA